GCGGCCCCCAGCAGCUGCGGCCACGGCUGGCUCCGGCGGCGCGGGAGGAGCCACCCAGGUCCUAACGCCGCCGGGCCAGAGCUGCGCCGCUCGCCUCUUGCCCGGCGUGCUGCUGUAGCUGCCUCCAGUGGCUGGAGUCACCGCGGUGACACCCUGAGCAGCCUAAUGACGCUUUUCUGGUGGCGCAGCUUGCUGGCCCAAGGCAACGUUUGACUCUAUUAUUGAUAUUACGCUGAGGAACCCAAGGCUGCUUGAACGUUCUGGUGUUCAGUACCUCCUGUUCUGGGUGACUGGCAGAGCUGCAGAAAGCCACGGGUGAAACCAUCGCCUCAGGAGAAAAGGACUUACGGAUCCAGCAGAAAAGGUCUUCUAAGGAGAAAUGAAAAUUGAAGUUCGAAUGUGCUGGACAGCACAUAAACAGAACAGUAAAAGGUCUCUGAUCAUAGGAAAAUCAACAGUUUAAACAGGUAAUUCAUACCAGAGAAGAUUCAUCUACACACCAGAAAAGUGAGGCAAGACACUGCUCUAUAAAACAGCUGCUGCAAGUUUGAUCAGAGCACAGAAAACAUUGUGUUUCACACUGAAAAACAGAGUUAAGCUAGGAAUCGGGGUUGGGACAAGCUGCUCCAUAGACCCUCGUGCAUGCAGCUAGAUGGAAAUAUUCUAGCCAUUCACAGUAAAUUGUACUUGUUCUUGGAUUGAAUUACUAGAUUAGCCUUACAUCAGAAAGGAAGAUGCAUUUUUAUAGUCAAAACACUCACUGUUUAUAUCCUUUAGCAGAGAUGGAGGUAAGUCUGUGUAACGGGCAAGUUUGCCCACAAAGGCAAACUGAACCUGUGGAACUGAAGUGGUGGAACUUUUUAUGGGCCUCUAUGGGUAAGGGCAAAUAAACUAGAAUCAAGUCACUUUGUUCUCAUAUGAAGUCUCCAAUACAAAUAGUUUAUACUGGCACAGCAACUGCAAUAUAAUUACAAACAUUUUCUGGAAUUGGGCCAGCCCUUCUAGCUUGUUUCCUUCUAUGUGGAAAUAAGCUACCAAUAGUUUUAUACUGAUAGAGCUCUGUUCACACUAUAGGGAAAGACAGCUCAUACUUUAAUUAUGCCAACAGAGAUAAAGUAGCAAAAUGCCUGAUAGAGGAAUUAGUGUUUCAGAUACAGUCCGUUUACCUACUGCAAGACAGCUGUGAUAUUCCUAGCACAGGCAAGGCUUUAGAGUACCAAUUCUUAGCAUAAAAAAAAAAUCCCUCCUGUGUAAUUCCCAGAACAACAUCAACCUUUGAAAUGUUCAUAGAAUUACUAGACACAAUCCAGACUUUUAAUUUUCUGAUAGAUGCUGUCAAGAGUUCAGCUGACAAGAAUCUUCUGUGCCACUCAAGUGUCACUUUGUAACAGUUUUUUAUUUCAAAAUUACUGCUUUUUCCCCCCUUUCCCCCCCUUUUUUUAAAUUUCAGCAACAGUACUGUGAUAAUUCUGAGUCUUAGUAAAAGCAUUGCUGAAAACAAAAUGCAUGUUUUGGCUUGAAAAAAACACAUAAAAGCAAUUGGUACCUCCUCAUCCAGGCUACAGCUUGGGAAAUGAUCUCUGACUUGCCAAUGACAACAACAGGCAAGUAGCUAUCCAGCAAAAUCUCUUUAGCUCAGCUGCACAAUAGUACUUCCACUGCUAUUUAUACUUAAUUUGGUUGUUUAAAAUGGCAUCUGCAAAUUCAGGCUUAGUAACUAAACCAAAGCAGAGGGCACUUCAUCCAUCUACAAACUGAAAUAAAUACUUUGCCUCUUAAUUUAAGAGUGUUUUCAACUGAGCCACUGUCCUUUUGAAGUAUCUGGAGUCCCAAAGCCAAGUUUCUAAAUGACUGCUGUAUUCACAGUGCUGCAUAAAAUGAAAUUCAAGUCACUGACUGUGCCUUUCUGAUGCCCCAACUGGAGUCUUCAUUUGACAGCAAGUACACUAGUUGCAUUGUAAGAUGGACUUCCACAACAUGCACAAUUACCUAUUCCACAGUAGGAUACUAAAGUUAAUCUACAAGGCACUACACACAUCACCUCUGCUUGGUGAGCAUGUCAGGAAUGAGGCACCCUCUCUUGGAAGACCCUGAACCUCCCUUAGCUGUAUUGCAGAUAAGGCUGAAGAGUUUUGUCCUUCAAAAAUAUAACUAACCAGCUCAACAUGAUGACAUUAAAAUGGUAUCCAUGAUGAGGGUAAUUAAACUGGAUGUCGAUGAUCAGGAGCACAAAUUUCUGGACCUGCUCUCUGAAGAAUGUUGUGACACUGGGUACCAAAACCAGAAUAGUGUGUUGGGUAGUAUCCAGUCCUGUUACUGUUGUUAAACCUUAAGGUAAGCUACUCACCUGCUCUCACAGACAGUGAGCACUUUUCCAUGUCACUGGGUCACAAACACAAAGAAUAAGGUAAGAUAGGUCUCUGAGACAGGAGAAAGGAAGCUAAUUGUGUUACAAAGAAGAAUGGAACAAAGAUACUCCAUAAUACAUCAGUAUGUUGGGCACAAAGAGAGGCAUGUGCACAGCAUAUAUACUGCUCAGAUGCCAUGGUUUAAUUUGCAGUGGCAACGUAGCAUCGUUACCUAUAUUGAUACAGACUGCCUCUUAAAAUAAGUCACUUCUUGAAGAUUGAAUGUGCUGUCUGCUAUGUAUUUAUUUUUAAACUACCAAGAAGUCCUAGUGCCUGUUGCUCAGAUUUUAUAUAACUUUACAAAUUCAGGAGGUGCAGAAUUUGCCCUCAGCUGUUUAGAAUACCAAUGAGAGCAAUUAGAGGCAUUGCUGAACUGUCUAGGGAAAAAAAUGUAAUCUGUAUUUUUCAUUACCCCUGAAGAAAGGUACAACUUACUACAAACUUGUUAUUAUUUCCACUUAAAGAAUUAGAAGAGCUAUUAUGACAACUCUUGUAUUUAAACAAUUGCUUAGCAGAAGUAGUUGCUUACUUUCUUAAAUCAGAUGAUCUACUUAGGAUGCACCUGUUUCUCUCACAGUCCAUAUUGCCUGUAGAACUGAAACCAGAACCCCAUAAUACCUCAUUGAUGUUAAUGGUUCACUGAAGUUAAAUGUUUUUAAAAUGAUUAAAUGUAUUUCUUUGUUUUGUUGUAA